rnacentral:lncRNA from 1 species
UCUGCAUUGCAAUCCCACAUUAAUAAACUCAACACAUUGUAUAACUCGUUCUGCCGAUUUGUGCUACAAUGUAAUUACAGGACUCACCAUUGUGACAUGCUAAAAGAACUAAACUUGCUGUCGCUGGAAUCCAGACGCACCCUUCAUCUUUCCAGCCUUGUGUCUAAGAGCUUUUCUGGGAAACUCCCACGCUACCUGAACACAAUGCUUUCCUCAGCUGUUCCCACUUCCUAUAACCUCCGAUCCAGUACCAACACUUUACUUAGUUCUACCUCAAUACAAAAAGAAAGCAGCCCAAUCCUCGUUCUCCUACAGAGCACCGCAAUUGUGGAACGACCUCCCGCACAAUUUAAAAUCUUCCCUAAGCCUAAAGUCCUUUAAGAGAUCCCUCUCUACAUACCUCAAAACAGAAU